rnacentral:lncRNA from 1 species
GGGGAGGUAGAGGGGGCAGUGGAGCCUGGGCUGGGGGAGGUAGAGGGGGCAGUGGAGCCUGGGCUGGGGGAGGUAGAGGGGGCAGUGGAGCCUUGGCUGGGGGAGGUAGAGGGGGCAGUGGAGCCUGGGCUGGGGGAGCAGUGGAGCGCUGUAAGUACUCGGGGGAGCUCUGGGAUCUGCAGCUUCGAUCCAGUAAGGAGCAGCGUUGCUUUCCUAAUACCUGAUCCUCACCGAGCUCCCUCCGUUUUAUAGAGCUCCAGCUGUCUCCGCCGAUCCC